AUGAUCGUAAUUGCGCAAUCAUGCAUGAAAGUGGCUGGUGGUACUAUUAUUGUUAUUCUUGUAAUUUAAAUGCACCAUAUGGGCCAAAACUAGAGUGGCCCUACAUUCACCUUAAAGAAGUUAAGAUGCUAAUUCGCCCCAAAGAAGAGAUGAAGAAGUGAUAAACUGAAAAGCUGAAAUUCCCAUAUUUGACUCAAUUAUGUAAUCAUUUAUAUAUAAUUGGUGCAUUAAGAAAUUGCGUUCUGAAAAAUAAAAUAAUCGACUAUUUAA